rnacentral:lncRNA from 1 species
UGGAAUAUCCGAGAGCUGGUCAGGCCUGUUUCUGUCCCUCUUUCCACAUGGCUAGCUUGGGCUUUCUCAUAGUGAGAUGGGCUCAGGGUAUUUGAACUUCUUAUCCUGCAUCAUUCUUCCAAGAUAGAGGAAGCAGAAGCUGCCAGUCUUUCUAAAGGCUGGACCUAGAAUUAGCAGAGUCAUAGCCACAGUAUUCUCUCGAUCUAAACAAGUCACAGGGCCAGGCCAGAUUCAAGGGGCUCCUCACUCUCUUAGUGUGAGGAGUAACAUGCAUAUCAACAAGGAAGGAAGCUAUCAGUGGUGGCUAUCUUUGGAGAUUAUAUGCCACAAUAAUGAGGUGGCUCUUCUCGAACUGCCUGCCUGUCUGUCUUAGAAAUGCUGUAACUCUGUCCCAGUCUGUGCCAAGCAGAGAUGAUGAACAAAGCAGUGUGUGAAGUAGGCUGCUAUUGCACCCUCUUUGCGUCUGACUUGAUGUGGCUGACAUAUUGACAUUAUUUUAUUGCUUUGGUGUGGCAACAGCUCCAGCUAAGCCACCACUGCCAGACACUUGCCCAUCUGUCCUAAAAUAUGACUAAUUACCAUUAUAAUGAUUCUUCAGCUUUAUUAAACUUCUGUCUUCUGCAAAAUCAAAUGAGAUUCAUGAAGACUUUUUCAUUAAUCAUCACAGCAUCCCUGCUGAGAGCUUAAAAGAGGUCAUGAGGCAACAGAAUUCCACAAUGAUAUGGUUGAGGAAAAUGGAGACCUGUCCACAGAGGAGCCCAGCAUCAUAAUGAACAGCCAUCUGGAAUCUUUGGCUUUGGUACCAAACUAAUACUG